rnacentral:rRNA from 1 species
AGUGAACGCUGGCGGUAGGCCUAACACAUGCAAGUCGAACGGCAGCACAGUAAGAGCUUGCUCUUACGGGUGGCGAGUGGCGGACGGGUGAGGCAUACAUCGGAAUCUACUUUUUCGUGGGGGAUAACGUAGGGAAACUUACGCUAAUACCGCAUACGACCUACGGGUGAAAGCAGGGGAUCUUCGGACCUUGCGCGAUUGAAUGAGCCGAUGUCGGAUUAGCUAGUUGGCGGGGUAAAGGCCCACCAAGGCGACGAUCCGUAGCUGGUCUGAGAGGAUGAUCAGCCACACUGGAACUGAGACACGGUCCAGACUCCUACGGGAGGCAGCAGUGGGGAAUAUUGGACAAUGGGCGCAAGCCUGAUCCAGCCAUACCGCGUGGGUGAAGAAGGCCUUCGGGUUGUAAAGCCCUUUUGCUGGGAAAGAAAAGCAGCAGGUUAAUACCCCGCUGUUCUGACGGUACCCAAAGAAUAAGCACCGGCUAACUUCGUG